GACGUAGGGCGCAAGCGUUGUCCGGAUUUAUUGGGCGUAAAGAGCUCGUAGGCGGCUUGUUGCGUCGACUGUGAAAACCCGCAGCUCAACUGUGCGGUCUGCAGUCGAUACGGGCAAGCUAGAGUUCGGUAGGGGAGACUGGAAUUCCCGGUGUAGCGGUGAAAUGCGCAGAUAUCGGGAGGAACACCAGCGGCGAAGGCGGCACUCUGGGCUGGAACUGACGCUGAGGAGCGAAAGCGUGGGUAGCAAACGGGGAUUAAGAAA
rnacentral:rRNA from 1 species